UACGGAGGGUGCGAGCGUUGUCCGGAAUCACUGGGCGUAAAGGGCGCGUAGGCGGCCGUGUAAGUCACUUGUGAAAUCCCGGGGCUCAACUCCGGGGCUGCAGGUGAGACUGCGUGGCUAGAGCUUGGUAGAGGCGAGUGGAAUUCCCGGUGUAGCGGUGGAAUGCGUAGAUAUCUGGAGGAACACCGGUGGCGAAAGCGGCGUGCUGGAUCCCUUCUGACGCUGAGGCGCGAAAGCCAGGGGAGCGAACGGG
rnacentral:rRNA from 1 species